CACUUGAUAGCACAUGGUGUGCACUUGCUUCAGUUAUAAGAGCACAGCUGAGGUUGAGCAAGCAAGAGGCCCCGGUUUGAUUCCGGGUUGAGUGA